GUACCCGAUCAUGCAAUAAUAGUUGGCCUCGUCCUCAGGCUGCAGCCCAGAGAUGAGCAGGAGCCCCGCAUUGGCCGAGGUGUCUUUGGAUCCUGAGAAGCGACUGGGGACCCCGGAGCCCUGGUGCUUCUCUGAGUCUGAUUUAUACCACAGGAGAUACCGGGGAGGGCUCCCUGGGUUCUGCUGGUACCAGCACUUAUGGUAGCCACCAACAACAAAGCCACU